GUGGGCGUAGCUCAACUGGUUAGAGUUCCGGGUUGUGGUCCCGGCGGUUGGGAGUUCGAGUCUCCUCGCUCACCCCA
rnacentral:tRNA from 1 species